CCUGAAAUGUGAGCGCAAGCGCGCAUGCCCGGAAGUGGCGCUUCGGCGUGAUCAGAUUAACUACAAACUGUUCCUGCAGCGUUUCGCAGUUAAAUGCGUUUAAUUAAUUAGUCGAUCACAUCAGCACAACCAUUCGCUCGUCACAGGUGUCAGGAUGGUGUGUGAGCUGCUACUCUCCUCGGUCUGGUUCCUGUUCGUGAUCUUCUGGCUGGAGACCAUCAGUGUUUGGCUCUUCCUGUGUCUGUACUAUCAGGACCGGGUUUUCUAUCACUGGGGUUCAGGUGAGUUUGCGGAUGAUCCAGAUCAGUUCCUGUAUGUGUUGAGCAGAAUCGACCUGUCUGCGCACAUGCAGACAUGAGGAAGUGACGUCACGACACGAGCGGCAGGUCACGCGAAGGGACGCGGGGAGGGUCGGAGGUCAGCGGUGAUGUCAGCGGAUCCUCGUGACGUCAGAGAGUCUGCGAUGGACGGUUUCUACAGACGGAUAGAGUCGGGAGAUUCGUGUAUAAUCAGCAGAAACACAUUAAACAUGAGCAGCGUUUGCAGUUUACUAGAAGGAACGGUGGAACAUUUUAGUCCUGAGGUUUUAGAUUUCUUCACAUGAUCAGCGAUUAGCAGAAAUGUCUUUAAAACAGUUCCCUGUGUGAACAUCACUCAUAGCUCAUCUUUUAACCCGCUUGGAAUUUCAUUUUAUAAAACACUAACAUCUCCAGAUGAACUUUUAUCUAAUUAUCGUUUUUCUAUUUUUGUAUCAAUUUGUCUUUUUUAUCUAAUAAUAAUAAUAAAGCAGUUUUAAACAGA